UACGAAGGGGCUAGCGUUGCUCGGAAUUACUGGGCGUAAAGGGAGCGUAGGCGGAUAGUUUAGUCAGAGGUGAAAGCCCAGGGCUCAACCUUGGAAUUGCCUUUGAUACUGGCUAUCUUGAGUAUGGAAGAGGUAUGUGGAACUCCGAGUGUAGAGGUGAAAUUCGUAGAUAUUCGGAAGAACACCAGUGGCGAAGGCGACAUACUGGUCCAUUACUGACGCUGAGGCUCGAAAGCGUGGGGAGCAAACAGG
rnacentral:rRNA from 1 species